rfam:Solanum lycopersicum cultivar Heinz 1706 chromosome 12, whole genome shotgun sequence.
GGGCUUAUAGUUUAAUUGGUUGAAAUGUACCGCUCAUAAUGGUGAUAUUGUAGGUUUAAGCCCUACUAAGCCUA